rnacentral:tRNA from 1 species
UACCAGCUUAGCAUAAAGUUAAAUGCUUUGGAUUGUAGCUUCAAAUAUAGGGAUUACCUAGUUGGGAAC